rnacentral:lncRNA from 1 species
UCACUUUUGUAUGGUUAUCCUGAGAUGGAGCAGGUGAAGAUGAUUCAGAUGAUGAUGAUGAUGCAGAUGAUGAUGCAAGUGACGAUGAUGCAGAUGAUGAUGAUGCAAGUGAUGAUGCUGUGGCUACCACCCCAACACCAAAUCCACCAACUACAUCUGACCGCACUGCAGCUACCGAUGAUGCAAGUGAGGGUGCUGUGGCUGCCCACACUGGAACUACUGUAUCCCAUACGACUGAAGUCUGAUUCGACUGCUCCUCUGGUCACAAUGACCUGUCUGGACUUUUUGCCUCUACAUGUUGACUGCAAUAAAGGACAGAUUUGUAUUUUUUAAUCAAAUGUUGUCUUGCCUUUUUCAAAUUGAGGCCUUGUCCUGUUUUGGUAGUGGAGAUGACUAUGAAGCCUCUUUCCUAACGUAUUUCCUGUAGUGGUUUUACUAUAUGCUUCAUGCAACAAGGCCUUCAACGACUCUACAAUUUUAAAAGCAUCUAGUUUUGUCUGAAUUUGUAAAAUGGUUGAACUGGUAGUGAUGCACUAUAAUGGUGAACUGCUUGUGGCAUUUCAAUAAUCUCUACUGUACUGUUUGACAUGUACAUCUCAAGUGAAUUUGCGUGGUAAGUGGUAAACUGAUGUCCGU